rnacentral:lncRNA from 1 species
GUAUUCUCUCAUCAUGAGGUGUAGGUUAUAUUGACCAAGAAGGCAGGUAGUGCAUUUACGUCUGCAAAAGACAGUGUUCACAGGGAUGACAUCUUGUCUUAUUUCCAUAGGCGCGUCGAGAAAAGAUGGGUACUUCUUACCAAAUAUCAAGAGAUGCAUCCAUGAUCACGUGAAAAGACCAGCUGGACUGCGAGGAGAGAGAUCCGUGUGCUGAGGAGAAAGGGGGUCUGAUAUCCUCUGGUGGCGUAUGGUGGAAAUAUCAGGAAGUGAGCAGUGUAGAUUCAGCAGGAAGACGACACAUGCUUUGCACCGGUCUUUAUGUAAACUAUUUGUGUCUGGCCCACGUCCUCUUAUAGGAUAUGUGUGUUUAAUCUAAAAUAAAGGUAAAUAAUAAACUACUAAUAUGUAUAGCUUAAUGUAUAUAUUUUAAGAAUUUGCUAGUGUUCCUGGAAAGACAUAGUAAGAAUACCGGACACACAUUGAAUUGAAUAGUUAGGAUGGGUUGUUCAUUGAAAUAUAGAAUAUAGCCUACUGAUUGAAUUCCCAACUGUAAUAUAUUUAUUAUUUUAUAUAUAUGCUAUAUAAUAUAUGAUAUAGAUAUUAUAAAUGCAUCUCUUAAAAUAUGACCCAGGUUUGUCGUUUCUUAAAUGUUUUUCUUUUGUCUCUCUCUAUUUUGUAAAUUCUAAUAUUCCCAGCUCGAAGUAUAAAACUGCAUAGUCCCUGAAAAAUAAAUUAAUAAACUAGAUUUUCAUAAAUGUUAAUGUGUUUAAAUACUUUACCGUUGUCUUUUUCUUUACACUCAAUUUAUAUCGACUUAAUUUAAGCAAACUUAAACUUUUAAGCAAACGUAAUUGUAGUAAACCCAUAAUUAUCCAACAAUACCAACACAAGCACUUACAUUUGUGUGUUCAUACUCACUUUUUUCUGGAAACUUCGUAGCAGUCGCGUGCUUAUUUCUCUAUACGUUUCUAUGUAAAAUUGCGAUUGAAUUAAAUUGUCAUUAUUUAAAUUUACCAUUAUUGUUGUGAGCAUUAAUAUUAUUAGUUUUAAUGUCUGUUGCGAUUUCCAAAUACCAAACUUUAUUUUCUUUAAAUUGAGUUCAAGUAUUGGACACCUGGAAUUUUGCAUUUAAUUCACAUUUAAUGCACGUUUUUUCCCUUUAAGAAAUUGUCCUUGGUGGACGUUCACAGCAAGGCUUUCAGUGAGCCAACCUGUCUUCCAAAAUCAAAGACAAUAAAAAGGCCUUUGUUUACGCUAUGGCCCUGUCUGGACGGAAAAGAGAUUCCAAGACAGCAAUCUCAGAGCGGCGCAGACAGUGCACUAGACACUGACCUUGAACUAACAACUAUUUAGCCAUUUUCCAGAGAU